UGGGGAAUUUUGGACAAUGGGCGAAAGCCUGAUCCAGCAAUGCCGCGUGUGUGAAGAAGGCCUUCGGGUUGUAAAGCACUUUUGUCCGGAAAGAAAUCCUUGGCUCUAAUACAGUCGGGGGAUGACGGUACCGGAAGAAUAAGCACCGGCUAACUACGUGCCAGCAGCCGCGGUAAUACGUAGGGUGCAAGCGUUAAUCGGAAUUACUGGGCGUAAAGCGUGCGCAGGCGGUUUGCUAAGACCGACGUGAAAUCCCCGGGCUCAACCUGGGAACUGCAUUGGUGACUGGCAGGCUAGAGUAUGGCAGAGGGGGGUAGAAUUCCACGUGUAGCAGUGAAAUGCGUAGAGAUGUGGAGGAAUACCGAUGGCGAAGGCAGCCCCCUGGGCCAAUACUGACGCUCAUGCACGAAAGCGUGGGGAGCAAACAGGAUUAGAUACCCUGGUAGUCCACGCCCUAAACGAUGUCAACUAGUUGUUGGGGGAUUCAUUUCCUUAGUAACGUAGCUAACGCGUGAAGUUGACCGCCUGGGGAGUACGGUCGCAAGAUUAAAACUCAAAUGAAUUGACGGGGUCAUAGCUGUUUCCU
rnacentral:rRNA from 1 species